CACAUUUCGCAUUAACCUCAAACACAGAAGAAGAGGGGAGAGACAAAUCAGAGGGGAGCAGCGACGAAGAAGAGGGGAGAGACAAAUCAAAGGGGAGCAGCGACGAAGAAGAGGGAAGCGGCCACCAGCGAUAUUUCUUUUCCCUCUUUCAAUCAAACCUAACGUUUCUCUCCAUGAGCCUUUUUCAGUUGGCCAUCGAUCGAAGCAAGCGGCAAGCCCUAAGCCCUAAAUGAUAACACAUGGCUCAGAGACGAAAUCUGAAGAUUGUGUUUGAAUUUCUCUAACCUCUCUCGCCCUUUGUCUGAUCGGAAGGGAAAGUCUUGUUGGUGUUUGCUGGUUCAAUAAGUGAGAAUCUGAAGGAGGAGGAAACCCAGCUCUCUCUCUCUCCUCUCCUGCUACUUUCUUGGAUUUUAUACAGUGAGGUGGUUUUUUGACAAGUGCAGACUGAAACUCAAGUGGUAGAAGGUUUAUCAAUUUUUCAACUGAAGUGUUCAGAAAUUAAUGAUUUUCUUGACAAAUAGAUUUACUUCUUCUUUUGGAAUAUUGAUAAAUGUUGAAUUGUUUUGGCACAUUGAUAAAUGAUGAAUUGUAAAAAUGUUUUAACUCUUUUGAUAUAUUUAAUGGGAUAUGUAUGUUCUUUGAA